rnacentral:rRNA from 1 species
GAUGAACGCUGGCGGCGUGCCUAAUACAUGCAAGUCGAGCGAACAGACGAGGAGCUUGCUCCUCUGACGUUAGCGGCGGACGGGUGAGUAACACGUGGAUAACCUACCUAUAAGACUGGGAUAACUUCGGGAAACCGGAGCUAAUACCGGAUAAUAUAUUGAACCGCAUGGUUCAAUAGUGAAAGACGGUUUUGCUGUCACUUAUAGAUGGAUCCGCGCCGCAUUAGCUAGUUGGUAAGGUAACGGCUUACCAAGGCAACGAUGCGUAGCCGACCGGAGAGGUGGAUCGGCCACACUGGAACUGAGACACGGGCCAGCCUCCUACGGGAUGCAGCAGUAGGGAAUCUUCCGCAAUGGGCGAAAGCCUGACGGAGCAAGCCCGCGUGAGUGAUGAAGGUCUUCGGAUCGUAAAACUCUGUUAUGAGGGAAGAACAAAUGUGUAAGUAACUAUGCACGUCUUGACGGUACCUAAUCAGAAAGCCACGGCUAACUACGUG